GGUCAAUGCUGCAGCCUGCUGGAGUGGAAUGGUGUUACUGUGUGUGGGGAGAUGCCUGAAGCCUUCUGAUGAGGUCCAGAUUUUAAUUUCCAGCGAGAGUGGGAAGAAGAAGAGGAGAACAGAGUUCAUUCAUUUCAGAAGAGUCAGUAGUUAAGACAUCCAUCUGCUGUGAGAAGCCAGAUUCAUAUGCCUGUUCUGCCAUUUUCAUCUUCAUGUGAGCUGUUAGAACGGAGGUCUUAGUGCAGCCUGACCUGUCUAAGCUGGAAAUUCAUAACCAUUACUCAGCUGUGAUCUUGGUACCACAAAUACACCUUCUGGCAUGCAGGUGCACUUGGAAAAGCACAUUUUGUUCAACUAGCAAGUGUUGGCAACUCCUGAACAAAGCCUGGUCAAACCUUAACUUUGCCCUCAGAAGAUCUGGAAAACAGCUUUCUUUGACUAUUUAGUCCUGCUCAAGAUUCAUGGAGACAGAUUAAUUUUGUGUUCUGUACAUUUAUUGGCACAGAAUUUUAAACUGAUGAGGCAGUUGUUACAGAAUUGGGAUUUCAGGUACCAACAUGGCUGUCAGAGCAUAUAAAGGCAGUUCAAAGCAAGCACUGGAUCCCUCUCAAAUCGACAUUGAGAUGGUCUUGUUUCUUCAUCACACCUAAAAAGCAGCACUGCAAAUGUACUGCAAAUCAAGUACAUUAGUUUGUACCCCCACGUGCCUGCCAGAAACUUUCAAAAGCUGUAAAAAUUAAUUUGAUUUUUUGUUCAAAGAAAUAAUUAGAUCCAUGUCCAUUCUAAGAAGACACAGUUUUUAUAACAGUAUUCCUGUGUAAAUUCACAAUAACCCCCAGGCCCACAUUGGAAAACUUUUCACUUGAGGUUAUUUAAUUUUUUAAGGGAAAAGGUGUAUAUUGCAGAUGUUCAUGGGUCUGAUAAUUUCUCUCACAGAACACCUGACUUGCAUGCUUUUGUUAGAAAUGGCCAAAAGCAAAUUAAACUUAAGAAGGUUUAUAUUGUGCACAUACAUUGGAUUUUAUAAUCACCCCCCAAAUGCUUCUAUUUCUUUCAGUAGGAGAAAACAUGCUUUGGCUGCUUCUGUCACCUGGCUGAAGAAUAAAAAAAAAAAAAAAUUAAAAAAAUAAAUAAAAAAAAAGUUACUGUGUGCAGUUAAUAUCGAACAGCAGCCAUCUCCAGAUGAUCCCUGCUGCAUCCAAUUUCUGCCAAAAUGCUUUCUGUUAAACCUCCAUCAAACAGACACACGGCGCACAAAAGAAAACCUCAUCACCAAGGGAAACUAAUCCACCGGUGCGCAAUGUAAGCCUGUCAACUUUUUAUUAUAAGAAGUCAUCACUCAUUUCAGUGAAGAUUAAAAGUAUGACUAAAUUGAGAAAAUCCUCUUAGCCAUUCGGAAUUUUAAUAGAGGAGAAAAGGGGGUGAGUAAAAUUUAAACUGUAUGUGCGUGUGUGCCUAUAUAUCUAUCUAUAUGUGUGUGUAUGAAUCAAAUAUA